UCCUCCCGCUCUCUACGGCCAACGGCACGUCCAGAGGUUCAAUUCCCUGGCCGACCCAUUUCAUCUUCUGGAAUUAAAAUGUAAACAAAUCCAAAUUGGUUUGGAGAGUAGCAGUCGACUGUCCACGUGAAGGGUUUCAUCCGAGAGGGGAUGACUGUCACUGUGACGGGUUUCAUCCGAGAGGGGAUGUACUGUCACACUGAAGGGUUUCAUCGAGUCGGGGAUGACUGUACACGAAGGUUUUUAUCUGAGAGGGCAUGACUGUCAGUGAAGGGUUUUAUUGAUAGGGCUGGCACUGUACGUGAAGGGUUUUAUCUGAGAGGGGAUGACUGUCACACUGACGGUUUUAUCGAUAGGGGAUGGACUGUCACAGUGAAGGGUUUUAUUGAGAGGGGAC
rnacentral:lncRNA from 1 species